CAGAAGGUUGGUGAUAAGGAGGGUCUAGAAGAAAUGUUGUUUAGGAAGACCUCUCUGAAUGGAGAAUGGUGUGAAGAUAUUUAUUUCUCAUGUGUUCACAUCCUGGUAGAGGGAAACCAUGGUGAAGGAGAUUCUCCAUAAUCGAGAUGGUCCCGCCUGUGGGUGACUUUCAGGUUCUUUCCCUGACAGUGUUGGUAUUCACUCAGUGCCAGUGUUCAGAAAGACUAUGGUGGCAGGGAUAGAGGUCAUUCAAGGAUUCCACAACAUGAGAUCUCUCCUCACCAAAAUUGACUUAGCUAUUAUCUAUCACUAGCUAUUAAGCCCCCAGCCUACUAGUAGCCGAAGUCAACUUUGAGCCCUGAUGUGGCAACGUUUGUCAGCACACUGGCCUCACAAUGCUUGUUAUGCAUUCAAAGAAGCCCAGAGUGCAAGGCAUAGAAAGUGAAUGGAAAGGCACAGAUUCAUCAGAUAAUGGGAACAAUUCCAUUCUUUUACUACUGCUGUUUGGCUAAAUUCUCUUUAUGAAGUGGAUCCAUUGGAAAAGAAGGAAACUAUUAUGAUUCAGCAAUUUCACCUGUUUACCUCAUUUAAUUCUCACAAUAACUCUGUGAGCUAGGUAGCAGGCCCUUACAAAAAUAAAAAUAUAGACACAGAAAGAUGAAAGCCUCAUACAUUCUAAGAUAAGAUAUCCAGGUUUAAACCCAAAUCUUUCUGUCUUUGAUUACACUGAUUCUUACGAGGCUGUCGGGCAUGCUAAGGUGGAUCUUGCUAUCUGCUGGCUACUAUGGAAGUCAUUCUCCUGCCCUCACCACCUUUGCCAGAGCAACUUGAAGGUUGGCAGCUCUAGCCUAUGGAGUGGCAUGAGCAGCUUGCUUUGCUAAGACUCCUGAAGAAUGGCAGGACAAGAAACAUCCUGGGAGAACAAACAUCUGCUCAGUUCCUCGUUGUUCUUGGACUGUUAACAUCUUGUUUGCCCGAGAUGUACUGAACUCUCUGCAAGCCUUCUGUUACACCUUGUUUAUCCCAAUGUGAACUAUUACUGAAUUCUCUGCAAGUCAUUUGUUACGAGGUACUGAAUAAAAGGUGUGGUAAACUGGGGGCUUUUGUCUUUGCCUCCCAGAGCAACACUGAUCAGACCCAAAGCUCAGCUUCUUCUCAGUCUCAUUUUUCUACCUUCCUGUAAUUCGCCGUGUGCUGCCGUGGCUCACAGGAGACCAAGACUCACUACAGAGGUUCUGGAAACAUC
rnacentral:lncRNA from 1 species